rnacentral:rRNA from 1 species
UACAGAGGGUGCAAGCGUUAAUCGGAAUUACUGGGCGUAAAGCGCGCGUAGGUGGUUUGUUAAGUUGGAUGUGAAAUCCCCGGGCUCAACCUGGGAACUGCAUUCAAAACUGACAAGCUAGAGUAUGGUAGAGGGUGGUGGAAUUUCCUGUGUAGCGGUGAAAUGCGUAGAUAUAGGAAGGAACAUCAGUGGCGAAGGCGAGUCUCUGGACAUUUCCUGACGCUGAGGCACGAAAGCCAAGGGAGCAAACGGGAUUAGAUACCCGGGUAGU